ensembl:lncRNA
GGUAGCUUUGCUGGGUCUGAGGCAGAGGCAGGCAAGGAAGUGUGGAGAAGCACUGGCUUUCUCCUGUUGCUGCAGGAUAGCAAGUGGCUUACCCAGACUUUCAACUGGAGUGGUCCGGCCUCAGAGCUGAGAAACAUUCAACUCUCUGCAUCUUCAGUGAUCUCUCCGUUUCUGCUGGUGGAGACCUCAUUCACAGCUGUCCUGUUUUCCCAGCACCACUUGUUGAAGAGACUGUCUUUCCACCAUUGUGUCGUCUUGCCUCCUUUGUCACGGACUGACUGACCACAGAUUGUAUUCCAUUAUACCUUUCUUGGUGGUUGUUUAGUUGCUAAGUUGUAUCUGACUCUUUGCGACCUCAUGGAUGUAACUCCUCUGUGGAUGCCAGGCUCCUCUCUCCAUGGGAUUUCCAAGGCAAGAAUACUGGAGUGGGUUGCCAUUUCCUCCUCUAGAGGAUCUUCCCAAUCCAUGGAUCAAAAUCCUGCUUGGCACGGAGAUUCUUUACCAUUGAGCUACCAGGGAAGCAAGACAAAUAAUUCCUGGUGCUAUAAAUUUUUUGUUGCUUAUCUAUUUUAUGUGUGGUAGUUUGCAUCACUAAUCCCAUACCCCUAAUUUGUCUCUUCCUCCCACCCACCUCUGGUAACCACCAGCUUGUUUUCUGCAUCUGUGAGUCUGUUUUUUUGCAUACAUAUUAACUGGUAUUAUUUUUGGGAUUCCACAUAUAAGUAAA